AUGGCCUCGGAAACCAGUCAAUUCGGAAUCGAGACCGACUCGAUCACCCUUCAACGUUACGUGCUCCAAGAGCAGCGUAAGCAUGCCGAUGCAAGUGGAGAGCUUACCGCGUUGCUCACCAACAUGCUCGUCGCCAUCAAGGCAAUCGCUUCAGCCACCCAGAAGGCAGGACUCGCGAAAUUAUACGGAAUCGCUGGAGCCACCAACGUACAAGGCGAGGAAGUGAAGAAGCUUGACGUGCUGAGCAAUGAGCUCAUGAUCAACAUGCUCAAGAGCAGCUACACAACAUGUCUCCUAGUCUCCGAGGAGAACGAUGAGCUCAUUGAGGUGGAGGAGCAACGUCGUGGAAAGUACAUUGUGACUUUUGAUCCAUUGGAUGGAUCUUCCAAUAUCGAUUGCCUCGUCUCAAUCGGAACCAUCUUCGGAAUCUACAAAAAACGUGGAGAUGGUCCGGCGACUGUCGAUGAUGUUCUGAAGCCUGGAAAGGAAAUGGUGGCAGCUGGUUAUGCUCUCUAUGGAUCUGCUACUAUGGUCGUUUUGUCCACUGGUGAUGGUGUCAAUGGGUUCACUCUUGACCCUUCCAUCGGAGAGUUCAUCCUAACCCACCCAAAUAUGAAAUGCAAGGAAAAGGGUUCAAUCUACUCGCUAAACGAAGGAUAUGCUCAGACAUGGAGCAAGGGUUUCGCCGAGUAUAUUCGUACACGAAAGUAUCCAGAAGCCGGCAAAAAGGCAAUGGGACAGAGAUAUGUCGGGUCGAUGGUUGCCGAUGUUCAUCGUACAAUUCUCAACGGAGGAAUCUUUCUCUAUCCACCAACUGUAUCGGCUCCAAAUGGAAAGCUCCGCUUGUUGUACGAGUGUAAUCCGAUGGCUUAUAUCAUUGAACAGGCCGGAGGUCUCGCCACGACUGGAAAAGAACGUAUUCUUGAUAUUCAGCCAACACAGGUAAUUUUCCACAAAUCGAGGAGAAAAGACCCUGAAACCAAAUUGCCGGUUUGCCGAUUUGCCGGAAAUUUUCAAUUCCGGCAAUUUGCCUAUUUUCCUAAAAUUUCAAUUCCGGCAAUUUGCCGAUUUGGCGGAAAUUUAAAUUCCGGCAAUUUGCCGAUUCGCCGGAAAUUUCAAUUCCGGCAAUUUGCUAAUUUGACGGGAAUUCCAAAUUCCGGCAAUUCGCUGAUUUGCCGGAAAUUUUCAAUUCCGGCAAUUUGCCGAUUUUCCGGAAAUUUUAAAUUCCGGCAAUUUGCCGAUUUUCCGGAAAUUUUAAAUUCCGGCAAUUUGCCGAUUUUCCGGAAAUUUUCAAUUCCGGCAAUUGGCAGAUUUUUCGGAAAUUUCAAUUUCGGCAAUUGGCCGAUUUGCCGGAAAUUUUCAAUUCCGGCAAAUUGCCGUUUUUCUGGAAAUUUCAAUUCCGGCAAUUUGCCGAUUUGUCGGAAAUUUCAAUUCCGGAAAUUUGCUAAUUUGACGGAAAUUCCAAAUUCCGGCAAUUCGCUGAUUUGCCGGAAAUUUUCAAUUCCGGCAAUUGGCCGAUUUUCUGGAAAUUUUAAAUUCCGCCAAUUUGCUGAUUUUUUGGAAAUUUCAAUUCUGGCAAUUUUCCGCUUUGCCGGAAAUUUCAACUCUGGCAAUUUGCCGGAAAUUUCAAUUUUGGCAAUUUGCCGAUUUGUCGGAAAUUUUCAAUUCCGGCAAUUUGCCGAUUUUCUGGAAAUUUCAAUUCCGGCAAUUUGCCAAUUUGCCGGAAAUUUUCAAUUCUGGAAAAGAACGCAUUCUCGAUAUUCAGCCAACACAGAUUCACCAACGCGCUCCAAUCAUUCUCGGAUCGAAACUCGACGUCGAGGAGGCUCUCGAAUAUCUUGCCAAAUAUGA